CUAUGGCCCAACAAGCCAUCCAACCUUCUCCAUCUCCGCCUCCUCCCCGAAGCGACGCCACGCCCUCGCUCCUCCUGAAGCGCCGCCACGCCCACCUCGAUCUCCGCCGCCACCUCCCACCCCUACCUCCGCGGUGGUCCUGCGCCCCCUCUACCCCGACCUCCGGCGACACUCCUCCCAUCCCGAUCUCCGCCGAUGGUCCUACGUCCUCACCACCCGACCUCCGGAGAAGCUCCUCCGACCCACCUCCCUCCCCGACCUCCGCUGCGCUCCCGCGCUGUUCACCGUGGUCACGCCCCCAUCCAUGCCGGUAGUGCAUGCUGGAUUAGGAGGUUGUACACGUACGUCUAUAUUUAUGUUCAAGUCGAGCUUCGUGAAUCUGAAGGCAUCUAUGAUCAAGAACCUAUUAAUUGCAUUCAAUUCAAUCUCACAUGUGUGUGCUACAUGCUGGAAGAAAUACUUAUCUUUUAAUUUGUAUAUAUGGCUGUGCGCACGUAUGUAUGUACUGGCACGUCUUGCCGGAACCUGAUUGGGAAGUCAGAUUCGCUAAAUCUCCACGCCCGUGUCUUCGUGCCAUAUACUUGGAGUAUAUAUCUAGCAUAUCAAGCCACCGGAGACAAGCAAUACUUCAUUGAAACAAUAACAACAAUAGCAUUGUUUUGUCCAGAUGACAUCGUCCAUGUCUACUGAUGUGGUUGGCACUCACCACAGGUACUCGCUCCAACCUUAGAUGAACUGUUUUAUCUCUGUAGCUAUUUAUGAAUAAAAUUGGUCAUGUAUAGCAUGCAUGCCUUCUGGCUAUAUAGAAGUCGAGGUGCCUAUGCGGGCUGCAAAAAUAGAGGGCGUCCCCGACUCAGAUUUUGUGUCCUGCUCGAGCACGUCAGUAAUGGGCGUCGGACAUGGACUCCACAUGGAACACUCUCUUUGACACAUAAACGAUGUCCUCAAGCCCCUAUGUGGAAGUAUCCAGCCUCGCCGUUCUACCAUUUUCUCUAGAACAACGAUGUACAUCUUUGACGGAACACUGACCGCCAGUGCUACACCUGAGUCUGCAGAGUUUACAAACAAGAGUGAAACCAAUAAUGUUGAGUGAUGAUUAUGGUAUGAUUGCUGGAUUAAUAAUUCAGAGUAAGAAAGCUAUUUUACUGGAAAAGCUGCUCCCGCGCUCUUCACCGUGGUCACACCCCCAUCCAUGCCGCUCUUUUCCCUGAACACCCAUGAGAGCGACGCCAUGCUGCGAGGGGAGCAAGUCGAGGUGCCUAUGCGGGCUGCAAAAAUGGAGGGCGUCGCCGACUCGGAUGUUUUGUCCUGCUCAAGCACGUCAUUAAUGGGUGUUGGACAUGGACUCCACAUGGAACGCUCUCUUUGCCACAUCAAAGAUGGCCUCAAGCCCCUAUACAGAAGUAUACAAUCUUGCCGUUCUACAAUUUUCUCUGGAACAACGAUGUACAACUUCGACGGAACAGGACCACCAGUGCUCCACCUGAGAAUAAACUUCUCACGAGUGAAAUUACUUCUGGUGUUGCAAUGUAGCUAGAUUGGAGAGAAACAUGAUAGCAUCUUAAUAAUCCAGUAAGAUUGUAAACCAGUUUUUCGGUUGGACGGAAGUAACUCCAGUCGCUGGGAGGACUUGGUGGUAAUUUACAAGGCCGCGAAGCAUUUUUCAUGUAACUGGUAGUGAUCUAAGUCACAUGUUAUUAGAAUGGAUGUUACCACAACAUUUCCGUAUGAACGUAUGCCACAGAUCUUUGCAUAUAUAUUGCACUCCCUUUGUAAAUAAAUAUAAGACGUUUUAAUAUGUUUCUACUACUA